UACGGAGGGGGCUAGCGUUGUUCGGAAUUACUGGGCGUAAAGCGCACGUAGGCGGCUUUGUAAGUUAGAGGUGAAAGCCCAGGGCUUAACCCUGGAAUUGCCUUUAAGACUGCAUCGCUAGAAUUGUGGAGAGGUGAUUGGAAUUCCGAGUGUAGAGGUGAAAUUCGUAGAUAUUCGGAAGAACACCAGUGGCGAAGGCGACUCACUGGACACAUAUUGACGCUGAGGUGCGAAAGCGUGGGGAGCAAACAGG
rnacentral:rRNA from 1 species